CAGCAGCCACGGUAAUACGUAGGGUGCGAGCGUUAAUCGGAAUUACUGGGCGUAAAGCGUGCGCAGGCGGUUUUGUAAGACAGGCGUGAAAUCCCCGGGCUCAACCUGGGAAUGGCGCUUGUGACUGCAAAGCUAGAGUGCGGCAGAGGGGGAUGGAAUUCCGCGUGUAGCAGUGAGAUGCGUAGAUAUGCGGAGGAACACCGAUGGCGAAGGCAAUCCCCUGGGCCUGCACUGACGCUCAUGCACGAAAGCGUGGGGAGCAAACAGGAUUAGAUACCCCUGUAGUCCCUGUCUCUUAUAC
rnacentral:rRNA from 1 species